AGGAAAGCAUUGUCUAUUUAUCUUAAGAAUACAAAAUUAAAAAAUAGAAUUUAAUAGAUGUGAAGUAAUGCUGCUACACACUCUUGUACAGUAGGUGGCGGUAUGCACCUUAAAGUUGCUUGUGAUCCGCCAUAAUAGAAAAGAAGAAGAAGAAGAAGAAGAAGAAAAAGAAGAUGGAAAAGAAAAGGCAUUUAAGGACAAAGAGUAGACAUCAUUUUCAUCAUCCCAUAGGAGGACAAGCUUCAAUACCACUUUUUGACAAUCCUUGGAUGCACGUUUCCUGGGGCAGAGAACAUGAGAUACAUCUGCAUCAUGUGGACAAUUUUCAACCAGUAAAUGGAGUCAGACACAUCAGAGUUCUGCUGUAUGGACCGGUCGGUGCCGGGAAGUCCAGCUUCAUCACCUCUGUCAGUAAUGCUUUGCGAAGGAGAGUGACCUGUGAAGCUCUGGCCAAUGCUGCUAACAGUUCCGGCCAAAGUUUUUCCAAGAAGUAUUUAACUCAUAGAAUCCGAAAAGGAGGCAAAGGAAACUAUCACUGCCUUGUGUUGAAUGACACCAUGGGCCUGGAGGAAGGACAUGGAAGAGGAAUCCACACUCACGACAUCAAGCUGGCUAUGAUGGGGCACGUAAAGGAGGGCUACAAGUUUAAUCCGCUGGCUCCACUGUCUAAUUGGGAUCCCGGCUACAACUCAUCCCCAUCUCUAAAUGACAGAGUCCAUGUUAUGGUUUGUGUUCAUAAUGCGAAUGCACCAGAAAUUAAGUCCUCCAUUUUACUGAAACUGAGGGACAUCGGAGACGCUGCUCAGAAAUUGGGUGUUCCUCAACUGGCUGUUCUCACAAACAUUGACGAGGCGUGUGAUGAUACCAAGAUUAAUUUAAGAAAUGUCUCCAGGAGCAAGAAUUUAAAGAAAAAAAUUUCUGAGUUACAUGCAAGCUUGGGGAUUCCAGAAAGCCACAUCCUUCCUGUGAAGAACUAUAGUCACGAAAUCCAAACAUGUUCAGAUGUUGAUACUUUGAUCCUGAGAGCGGUGAGACGGAUGAUUGAUUUGGGACAUGACUUCACGGACAAAGAGCUGAGAUGAGUUGGAGUCUGAGGAAGUAACAAGCGUGGACAACAAAGCCGCUUAUCUUCAAGUAACACAGGAAAAGACUACUGUUGUAUUGAAGUUGUGCUAAGAGGAGUUGGACUGUCCAUGAAGCUAUUCAAGUCUGAAAGAGCAUCUCAGUGCUGAACAUGAGCACCGACGUCCACAACACUGAUAUCAGUGUCCAUAUUUCUAAAGAAGUAUUUUUUUCAAAUAAGUUACAUGAAUGAUCAGUUGUUCCUGAUGCACUUAAAAGAUGAAUGGUACUUUAGCAAUAACCUAAGUAACAUUUUAGAACAAUAUAUAGCAUUGUUGUUGAGUCUAAAUAUCUAUUUAUUAAAUAAUUAAUAACAGAAAGAGUUUCUGAAUAGAAAAUGAUGCUUAUCAGUAUAUAGUUUUUCAUUAAAAUGCAAUUAGUUACAGACCUUAUAAUUAUCUCUAUUAAAAAUGAUGACAGCAUAUAAAAGCCACAGUAGAUGAGAAAAAAACAGACAUUUUGAGAUUAAUCUCAGAAUCUUUCUGGAAAAACAAGAAAAUUUCAGUUCGAAAUAUCCAAUAUUUUCCACAAUGAUGAAAUUUUUGAAAAAAAGGAAAGAAAUGUAUUUAAUUAUUUACACCUUUAUUUAACUAGGAAACGGAGUACAAUUUACCUUCAUUCAAAGUAGACAAAAGCUGAGAAUAUACUGAUGUUGAAACGCCUACAGCUACAUGCAUCGCAUCAAAACAGCAACAUAGCCACCAAAGCAAUAAUUGAAAACCAGAAGAUAUUAGACUACUUAUUAAUACAAUUCUAUUAUUCAACAGUCAAAACAUUUAUAAGUGGAUGUUUGUUACAUGUCUUAAAAUCCGUUGCAGUUCUGUCUAUUUUAACCCAUUUCCAUUUUUUAUACACAACACGUGUCUGAAGGCCCUUCACAAAAAAACAUCAACACAAUCCAACACACCCAUACAGAUCAGUGAGAAAAGCCUGUAUAGAUUAAAGACAUUGGGAAUUUAAAUUCAACUUUGUUUGCACAUUUAAACCAGAAAAAUUCAUAAAUGACUGAACAAAUUACAUGAACACAUUUUAAUGGAACAUUCAUGAUUUUUUGGACUUUAGAAGAAAGUCUUGGUACCUGGAGAGAAACAUGCUAACAUGCUAACUCUAGGAUUUGAACCCCAAACCUUCUUGUUCCGUACAUGUUUCCAUUUGUACAAACAGGAACUCAGACAUUAAUCCUGAACAAUAUUACUUUCUGAUUUAAUUGGUUCCGUUUGCUGAUUUUCUUUCACCUUCAAAAAGUACAACAACACCGACAACAACACAAAUUCAAAAGUAACCUAAGCAGAGGGUUAGUUCCACUUGGUUGAAAAUACGUUUGCAUUUGAUAGACUGCAUCUGUGUUUUUAGAACAGGUUAGUAACCCUGACACACUUUCAUGGAAGAGGACAUGAACUUCUAAGUCGACGUUCGGAUAGACUUCUGACCAGCUCCUCCCAGCGGUGGAGUAGUCUGGAUCUCGGGUGUGGUGCAUCAGAACCAGGAUGACUUUUUUAUGGGCUGUACAAAACCAGAAAAAAAUAUGGCUAGUUCAGUCUGUAUGUACACACCAUGAUGUUUCAGUCCAAAUAUUUAACACUACAAAUGUCUAACAGAUUGUUACCACAGAUACAAAAAUGUAAAAAUUUAACCUCAAACAUCUUUUUAUCAACAGAAAACUUGUUGGACUUUUUCAAAACUUGUUGAACAAGUCCAACACGUUUAAAAUUGGCACACACAAGUUAGGCACAUUUUAGGAAUACAAUUCACCUUCAUUCAAUACGUGCCUAAUUAUGGUUUAGGCACAUUUGGCCUAAACCAUGUUUGGUUAUAUUGCAGCAGUUACUGGGAGUGGACUAUUUAUAUUUCCCAGGAUGCUUAGGGGCAUGUGUUUGUGUCCUGGGUUGCAACGUGGAUGAGAUGGAAGUGUGAUACAUUGAUUUGUCUCUUAUUGUUUAAUAAAAUCCAUUAUCAGAUCAAUUAUUUUGUUCAUGUAAAUUGAACCAAGAAUUAAAAAUCCAAGAACUUAAAAUGAUUCAAAUAAUUUAAGUGAAAAUAAUCCAAACGUGUAACUAGGUGAAGGCAGUUUUCUUGCAUUUAUGAUGUGGAAUAACUGUUUUAAAUUAUCUAUCAACUUGAACUUUAAUUUCUGACUUAAAUCAAAAACAGUUUUCCAGUUGAAUUUAUUUAAAUUUUCAACACAGCAAGUGAACUUUCAUUUUCAAGUUAUGCCACCUUCAAAUGUUUUACAGUGAUGUAAAACAACAGAUUUCCUUUGACUUUCCUUUACUUAGCUGAAAUGUUCACAAAAACAUUUCAGCUAUGUUUGCUAAAUUGUGCUUUAACCAUGGUGAGUAUUUUAUAGAUACAAUAAAUUAGUGUCUGCUGUUGUGGUUACAGCUUCUGAAGAGGACAGUGAUAAUUCUGACAGUGCAAAUUGUCAUAGCUUUGAUACCAACUGUAGGAAAUUGGAGAACUGUAGUACUUCUGAUUUCAGUGUCUCUUUUGAGAAAAUCUGUAGAGUAAUUUUCUAUGGUUUGAUCUGUAAUCUUAUAGACAUUCAUUGCUAAUAAAAGUGAUUUGAUGUCA